rnacentral:rRNA from 1 species
AAUAGAUACCCCGGUAGUCCACCCCGUAGACGUUGGGAACUAGUUGUGGGGUCCUUUCCACGGAUUCCGUGACGCAGCUAACGCAUUAAGUUCCCCGCCUGGGGAGUACGGCCGCAAGGCUAAAACUCAAAGGAAUUGACGGGGACCCGCACAAGCGGCGGAGCAUGCGGAUUAAUUCGAUGCAACGCGAAGAACCUUACCAAGGCUUGACAUACACCAGAACACCCUAGAAAUAGGGGACUCUUUGGACACUGGUGAACAGGUGGUGCAUGGUUGUCGUCAGCUCGUGUCGUGAGAUGUUGGGUUAAGUCCCGCAACGAGCGCAACCCUCGUUCUAUGUUGCCAGCACGUAAUGGUGGGAACUCAUGGGAUACUGCCGGGGUCAACUCGGAGGAAGGUGGGGAUGACGUCAAAUCAUCAUGCCCCUUAUGUCUUGGGCUUCACGCAUGCUACAAUGGCCGGUACAAAGGGCUGCAAUACCGUGAGGUGGAGCGAAUCCCAAAAAGCCGGUCCCAGUUCGGAUUGAGGUCUGCAACUCGACCUC